CCCCUCUCUCUCUCCCUUUCCCCCUCUCUCUCUCUCCCUUUCCCCCUCUCUCUCUCUCCCUCUCCCCCUCUCUCUCUCUCCCUUUCCCCCCUCUCUCUCUCUCCCUUUCCCCCCCCUCUCUCUCUCUCCCUUUCCCCCCUCUCUCUCUCUCCCUUUCCCCCCUCUCUCUCUCUCUCCCUUUCCCCCCCUCUCACAGUUCCAUUCUGCAGUACCCACCUGUAUUUGUUGCCAAAGUUAGUGGGGCUGUGCACUUUUCCCCCCGUCCAAUAGCAGCGUGGCUCGAUGUGUCACUCAGUCCCAGAUGUAUGAUUGGCCCAUUCUCAAACAGCUGACCCCCCCCCCCCACACACACAGAGCGCUUUUUUAAAGCCCCUCCCCUCUUAGCUAAACACUUCUUCAACUGAACUCUCUCUCUCUCUAUCCGUCUCUCUCUCUCUAUCCGUCUCUCUCUCUCUAUCCGUCUCUCUAUCCGUCUCUCUAUCCGUCUCUCUAUCCGUCUCUCUAUCCGUCUCUCUAUCCGUCUCUCUAUCCGUCUCUCUAUCCGUCUCUCUAUCCGUCUCUCUAUCCGUCUCUCUAUCCGUCUCUCUCUCUCUCUAUCCGUCUCUCUCUCUCUCUAUCCGUCUCUCUCUCUCUCUCUCUCUCUCUCUCUAUCCGUCUCUAUCCGUCUCUAUCCGUCUCUAUCCGUCUCUAUCCGUCUCUAUCCGUCUCUAUCCGUCUCUAUCCGUCUCUAUCCGUCUCUCUAUCCGUCUCUCUAUCCGUCUCUCUCUCUCUCUAUCCGUCUCUCUCUCUCUCUCUCUCUAUCCGUCUCUAUCCGUCUCUAUCCGUCUCUAUCCGUCUCUAUCCGUCUCUAUCCGUCUCUCUAUCCGUCUCUCUCUCUAUCCGUCUCUCUCUCUAUCCGUCUCUCUAUCCGUCUCUCUAUCCGUCUCUCUAUCCGUCUCUCUCUCUAUCCGUCUCUCUCUCUAUCCGUCUCUCUCUCUAUCCGUCUCUCUCUCUAUCCGUCUCUCUCUCUAUCCGUCUCUCUCUCUAUCCGUCUCUCUGUCUCUCUCUCUAUCCGUCUCUCUAUCCGUCUCUCUCUCUAUCGUCUCUCUAUCCGUCUCUCUCUCUAUCGUCUCUCUAUCCGUCUCUCUCUCUAUCGUCUCUCUAUCCGUCUCUCUCUCUAUCGUCUCUCUAUCCGUCUCUCUCUCUAUCGUCUCUCUAUCCGUCUCUCUCUCUAUCGUCUCUCUAUCCGUCUCUCUCUCUAUCGUCUCUCUAUCCGUCUCUCUCUCUAUCGUCUCUCUAUCCGUCUCUCUCUCUAUCGUCUCUCUAUCCGUCUCUCUCUCUCAUCGUCUCUCUAUCCGUCUCUCUCUCUAUCGUCUCUCUAUCCGUCUCUCUCUCUAUCGUCUCUCUAUCCGUCUCUCUCUCUAUCGUCUCUCUCUCUCUCUCUCUAUCUGUCUCUCUGUCUCUCUCUCUCUCUAUCUGUCUCUAUCCGUCUCUCUCUCUCUAUCCGUCUCUCUCUCUCUCUCUCUCUAUCCGUCUCUGUGUGUUUAUUUUGGUCUUUGUAUCCAGGUGUCUCCCUCCACCUGUCUGUCUCUGUAUUAAACCACUGAUUUAUCAUCCAUGACCUGAUUUUGUUGGCCAGGAUUCAAUCCCACAAUGCAAUGUUUACGGUAAACGCUGCAUAUGUCGGCUUAUUUUGAAAUGACCCUUUUAGAAGAAGAAAUAAAAGCAGUGAUGAUACAGAAUCGGUUCUGUCUGGAAGUAGAGACCCGCUGGACUCUGAGCGCCGUGGAAAAACUGGAAGUGGAUUCUGGAAUGGGGUUUUACUCCCUCAUCUCAUAAUAUUGAAUCACAGGAAAUGUAAAAUGUUCCAAUGUGUAACCUAAAGGAAAUGAUGUCAUCAUCUAGCUGUGAGCUCAUUGGUUGGAGAUUUUUGGACAAUGCGCCAUUUUAUUUGUAUUUUUUAAAUGGCGCAUUGUCUAAAAAAAGCAGUGAUGGUAUUGAAUCCGGGCCUGUCUGGAAGUAGAGACCCGCUGGUCUCUGAGCGUUGUGUAAAAACUGGAAGCGGAUUCUGGAAUGGGUUUUAGUCCCUCAUCUCAUAUUGAAUCACAGGAAAUUUACAAUGUUAACCUAGAGGAAAUUAUGUCUUCCUCUAGCUGUGAGCUCAUUGGUGGAGAUUUUGAUCUCCCAGACAGGAAAUAACCUGUUAAAUGUUGUUUUCAUGAAGGAAGUGUGUGUCCUUACAGCUGUCCAGAGCUCUGAUCUGGUGGGACGUUAACCUCUCUGACUGGAUCCCCGAUCCCGGUCGGACGUUAACCUCUCUGACUGGAUCCCCGAUCCCGGUCGGACGUUAACCUCUCUGACGGGAUCCCCGAUCCCGGUCGGACGUUAACCUCUCUGACGGGAUCCCCGAUCCCGGUCGGACGUUAACCUCUCUGACGGGAUCGCCGGUCGGACGUUAACCUCUCUGACGGGAUCGCCGGUCGGACGUUAACCUCUCUGACGGGAUCGCCGAUCCCGUUCGGACGUUAAAACCUCUCUGACUGGAAGAAUUUCUUUUAAUUUCCCUCUCUAAAGGCACAGCCAUUAUCAUGGAGAACGAUCUGUUGGUCAUUGAUAUAAAAACCAUCUCACUUCCUGGUUUCACUCCUCCUCCACAACUGGAAUCUGGUGCUUCAUCUCCUCCAUUAUCAUGUAAAUGUGAUCCACUGUGAUCUAGUCCAAGAGGUCAAUGAUGUGGUGUUAGUGGAUGGAUAUGUGUGUGUUGACUGUUGGUUCACACAGGUGAGAGGUUAGAGUACCUCACUGUAGUUCUUGGUAAUGCCUGUGUAUGACUCAAGUGUUUCUGGGUAAUUUACUAAAUGUAACUAUAUAAAUAAAAUAAAAAAUCCACUUUUUUUUAUUUUUUUUUACUUUGUGAAACUGGAACUCUCUGUUUUAUUUUUUUGGUGAUUAAAUCUUACUCUUGUGCCAUUGGUUCACCUGGAUGCCAACAACCAAUAAAAGGGGAUUUUGAACACUUACUACCUACGUGUCUGUUCUCUCUGUUUUUAUUGGACACUGCAAC
rnacentral:lncRNA from 1 species